GUACAACCAAUCCGUGAUGCUCGGAGGCGGGGUGGCGCGUUAGGGUGUGCCAAUGAUCCACACGACGCGCGCAUUCACCUGGUGUUCGCCGGCCGCGCGCCCGGGGAUGCGGGGGUUGUGGGGACCGAAUCUGCGAGUCGGUAAAGCAAGUAGGGUAAGGCAGAACAACUGAGGAGUCAGCAAACCGUGAUCAGCUAGACAGCGGUUCCCCUUGCUAACACAUCUGGCCGAGACCACAUCUCACCCCAACCACAGAAGGAAAUGUUUCAGUCUAACCAAGCAGACAGCACGACAACAGGAUCUAUUGAUGAACGUAUGCACUUCAAACAAACAAAAACCCAACUG
rnacentral:lncRNA from 1 species